ensembl:lncRNA
CUUUGCCUUUGUGACUGCCGAUGAGAUGCGUCAGGUCGUGGGGGUGCGCCUUUGUGAGGGCAAUUAAAACUGGGAGGGAGAGGGUGAGGAGGCAAGGGCUACAGGGGCCCCCACGGGCCAGUUACUCAGCGGGAAGAAGGGCAGCACUUGCCCAGAAUCGUGCUCCCUCGCAGAACUCCCUGUAGGCAAAGCUGAUAAGCCACUACGGGCACAGCUCUGAAACUUGCAAGUUGGUUUGGCUGUGGUCAUCUGCUUGCCCAGACCCUCUGUGGAUGUGCUCCCAGGCUCCCAGUCAUGUACGGAUGUGAGAGUUGGACCAUAAAGAAGGCUGAGCACUGAAGAAAUGUUGCUUUCAAACUGUGGUGCUGGAGAAGAUUCUUGAGAAUCCCUUGGAGAGCAAGGAGAACAAACCAAUCAACCCAAAAGGAAAUUAACCCUGAAUAUUCAUUGGAAGGACUGAUGCUGAAACUCCAAUACUUUGGCCACCUGAUGCAAAGAACCUACUCAUCGGAAAAGACCCUGAUGCUGGGAAAGAUUGAAGGCAGGAGGAAAAGGGGCAACAGAGAACAAGAUGGUUGGAUGGCAUCAUGGACUCAACAGACAUGAGUACUCUUCUGAUGACUAUGAAGGCUACUCCAUUUAUUCUAAGGGAUUCUUGCCUACAGCAGUAGAUAUAAGGAGAAAAGGAAAGAUAUACCCAUCUGAAUGCAGAGUUCCAAAGAACAGAAAGAAGAGAUAAGAAUGCCUUCCUCAGUG